rnacentral:lncRNA from 1 species
GUCAAAUCGUCUCUAACCAAUAAUGAUAGGGAUCCCAUCAAAUUACACCAAUAAUGAUGUGGUCAUGGUUGACCAACUUAUCUUCAAAAAAGUUAUCUUAUCUCCGAAUAUGAGAACGAAUCAAAGAUAGACAAAAAAAAACAGUAGUUAACUCAUUUAUUCCUUAAGCUUGAAGAAACUAUGGGAGGGUUUAAGAAAGCUUAUAGUAAAA